UGGAGAGAGACAGAGAGGGAACGAGACACGUGAAUUUAGCAUUUCAAUUUGUGUCGGAAAAAAAAUUGUGUUGGAUCUUUGAGAUUGUAACAGCCUGCUCCAGCCUCAUUCAGGAUGCAUCUUCUAGCGAAACACAUUCUCAUCCUCCAAAUCAUCGUCCUGUUUGCAACAACCUGCCAGGCUCUGUCAUGCCCUAACUGUUAUGAAGUGCGAGACACAUGCGAGACUCCGACGGACUGCAAAGGGGGGCUGGGGCUUGAUAUCUGUGGCUGCUGCAAUGUCUGUGCCAAGGUGCAGGGCGAGGAGUGUGGAGGCCCCUGGGGUACCAGCGGGACCUGCGACAAGGGGCUGAAGUGUGUGUUCCCGGAACCGGAACCGUGGAAUCACGUUAUAUUUCCGAUUGGAGUUUGCGAGGAAAUGUGACGAGUUGAGCCAGAGAAUGGAGGCCAUUACAGGGAUUCAAGAGGAGCUCAUCCAGAAUGGUGCACCCAUUACCCAACAUAUGCUUGGAGUGACAGGAGUGCAGAUGAGAAUGCUACAGUAUGCUGUACUGUACUUCCCCUAUGCCUUACUGCACAAUAAAGCCCCUACAGCAUGCUGUACUGUACUUCCCCUAUGCCUUACUGCACAAUAAAGCCCCUACAGUAUGCUGUACUGUCUGCUGCCUUCCCCUAUGCCUUACUGCACAAUAAAGUACUUACAGCAACCUGCCUGUUGUGCUCACGCUCA